rnacentral:tRNA from 1 species
AUUUAUAUAAUUUAUAUAGAAUAUUGCACUGAAGCUGCAGAAGAGACUAGUACUAGUCUGUAAAUA